AUUGAACGCUGGCGGCAGGCCUAACACAUGCAAGUCGAGCGGAUGCAGGGAGCUUGCUCCUGGAUUCAGCGGCGGACGGGUGAGUAAUGCCUAGGAAUCUGCCUGGUAGUGGGGGAUAACGUCCGGAAACGGGAGCUACUACCGCAUACGUCCUGAGGGAGAGAGUGGGGGAUCUUCGGACCUCACGCUAUCAGAUGAGCCUAGGUCGGAUUAGCUAGUUGGUGGGGUAAAGGCCUACCAAGGCGACGAUCCGUAGCUGGUCUGAGAGGAUGAUCAGCCACACUGGAACUGAGACACGGCCCAGACUCCUACGGGAGGCAGCAGUGGGGAAUAUUGGACAAUGGGCGAAAGCCUGAUCCAGCCAUGCCGCGUGUGUGAAGAAGGCCUUCGGAUUGUAAAGCUCUUUUAGUUGGGAGGAAGGGCAGUAAGUUAAUACCUCGCUGUUUUGACGGUACCAAAAGAAUAAGCACCGGCUAACUUCGUG
rnacentral:rRNA from 1 species